rnacentral:rRNA from 1 species
AACGAACGCUGGCGGCGUACUUAACACAUGCAAGCCGGACGAGAAAGGAGACUUCGGUCUCUGAGUACAGUGGCGCACGGGUGCGUAACACGUAAGUAAUCUACCCCGAACUCUGGGAUAACCCUCCGAAAGGAGGGCUAAUACUGGAUAGGGUCCCCGAGGUGUAGGCUGCGGGGGGAAAACGGGCCUCUGUUUCAUGCUCGUGGUUUGGGAUGAGCUUGCGGCCCAUUAGCUAGUUGGUAGGGUAAUGGCUUACCAAGGCAACGAUGGGUCGCGGGUCUGAGAGGAUGAUCAGCCACACUGGCACUGAGACACGGGCCAGACUCCUACGGGAGGCAGCAGUGGGGAAUUUUGCGCAAUGGGCGAAAGCCUGACGCAGUAACGCCGCGUGGAGGAUGAAGGCCUUCGGGUUGUAAACUCCUGUCAGGAGGAACGACGGGGAAGGGGUGAUAAACCCUUUCCUCCAGACGGUACCUCCAAAGGAAGCCCCGGCUAAUUC